rnacentral:rRNA from 1 species
GCCUGAUCCAGCAAUGCCGCGUGCAGUGAUGAAGGCCUUCGGGUUGUAAACUGCUUUUGUACGGAACGAAACGGUGAGCUCUAAUACAGUUUGCUAAUGACGGUACCGUAAGAAUAACCACCGGCUAACUACGUGCCAUCACCCGCGGUAAUACUUAGGGUGCGAGCGUUAAUCGGAAUUACUGGGCGUAAAGCGUGCGCAGGCGGUGAUGUAAGACAGAUGUGAAAUCCCCGGGCUCAACCUGGGACCUGCAUUUGUGACUGCUUCACUUGAGUACGGUAAAGGGGGAUGGAAUUCCGCGUGUAACAAUGAAAUGCGUAAAUGUGCGGAGGAACACCGAUGGCGAAGGCAAUCCCCUGGACCUGUACUGACGCUCAUGCACAAAAGCGUGGGGAGCAAACAGGAUUAAAUACCCUGGUAGUCCACGCCCUAAACGAUGUCAACUGGUUGUUGGGUCUUCACUGACUCAUUAACGAAGCUAACGCGUGAAGUUGACCGCCUGGGGAGUACGGCCGCAGGGUUGAAACUCAAAGGAAUUGACGGGGACCCGCACAAGCGGUGGAUGAUGUGGUUUAAUUCCAUGCAACGCGAAAAACCUUACCCACCUUUGACAUGUACGGAAUUCGCUGAAGAU